AUAACUGGUUGCAAGAGAGUAUCCUCGCAGAUCUUGGGGAACUGGUUUCGCUUGAAGUCCUAGAUGCCAGCUCCAACGCCAUGAGUGGAGUUGUUCCCACUGCAGGUACAGAAAUGGAUAUUUAGAAUGAACAUAGUUCAGUAAAGAAUUAGCAUCUUGUACAUGUGAUGAUUAUAUUUGUAACAUCUUGUACAUGUGCUGUUAUAUUUGUAACACUAUUGCAGUUUUAAAAAAUCUUACGAAUCUGAAGGAGCUGAAUUUGAGUGCCAACGGAUUCAGCGGAAGCCUUCCGGGGUCAUUACUUGAACUACCUCACCUUGAUCCCUCAGGAAGUUCGUUAGCAGGACGUACUCCAAUUAAUUCAUCUUUGGAGCCAGUUUCACUACAAGUAUUAAAUCUCAACAACAACAGGAUGAGUGGAGCUCUUCCAACCGAACGAGGUAAAAAUAAUGGACAUUUCAUGCUUGAUCAUAACAUCUGGGCAAGAUUUUCUAUGAUGCUGAUUAUAACUGAUUCAUUGUAUUCAUACUUUGCGCAGCAUUCGGAUAUCUAAGGAACCUACGAGAAUUGCAUUUGAGUUCCAAUAACUUCACUGGAAACAUUUCUACUUUCUUGCUUUCACUUCCACAUAUUGAACGAUUGGAUCUCUCGGGAAAUACUUUUGAAGGACCUAUCCCUAUAACUCCAUCUUCAAAUCUUUCUCUGUCUCUCAAAGGUCUUCGGUUUUCCCAGAACAAUCUGAGUGGUAAACUCUCAUUUUUUUGGCUGAGGAACCUCACUAAACUUGAAGAAAUCAACUUGUCAGGGAAUAUUAAUUUAGCAGUUGAUGUCAAUAUUCCUGGAUGGGCACCUCCAUUCCAACUGAAACAGUUAGCUCUCUCUGGUUGUGGUCUUGACAAAGGCAUAAUUGCAGAACCACACUUUCUACGCACACAACAUCAUUUGCAGGAGCUUGACUUGUCAAACAAUAACUUGUCAGGAAGAAUGCCGAAUUGGCUUUUUACAAAAGAAGCAACUCUGGUUAACCUAAACCUUGGAAAUAACUCGCUAACUGGAUCUCUAAGUCCCAUAUGGCACCCCCAAACAGCUCUACAAUCUAUUGUUAUAUCUACCAACCGUAUUACAGGGAAGCUACCUGCCAACUUCAGCGCAAUAUUUCCAAGCUUGUCCACUCUGGAUUUGUCAGACAAUAACUUUCAUGGAGAAAUUCCGAUGUCACUGUGCAGCAUCAAACACAUGAAGGACUUGAGCUUAUCAAACAAUAAUUUUUCUGGUAAAAUGCCGACUUGUGUGUUCACUGAUUUUCUUGAGCUGUGGACCUUGAGUGCCUCAAACAACCAGCUUGGAGGUCUGGUGUUUGGUGGGAUGAAAAAACUGUCCAUCGGGUUUGCAAUGCACCUACAGAACAACAAAUUUGAAGGAACACUGCCUCGUAAUCUGUCAGGAGCACUAGUAAUCAUGGAUUUGCAUGAUAACAGCCUGUCCGGUGAACUUGACACCUCAUUUUGGAAUCUGUCUAAAUUGCAGGUACUAGAUCUUUCUGGGAACCAUAUAACUGGCAGUAUCCCUCAAAAAAUUUGCAGCUUGGCAAGCAUUGAAAUUUUAGAUCUUUCAAACAACAACUUAUCAGGAUCUAUACCAAGAUGUGCCAGUGCAUCUCUAAGUUCGCUUAAUCUGUAUGGGAAUUCAUUAUCAGGAAACAUCUCGGAUGAUCUUUUCAACACAUCAAAUCUUAUGUAUUUGGAUAUGAGACAUAAUAAGUUGACUGGUAACCUCAAUUGGUUACGGCAUCUUGAUAAAAUCAAGACACUUUCAUUGGGAUGGAAUGACUUUGAAGGCCAAAUCACUCCAAACUUGUGUAAACUAAAGUGCCCAAGGAUAAUCGACUUCUCACACAACAAACUCUCAGGCUCACUGCCACCAUGUGUUGGCAACAUCUCUUGUGAGAGUGAUACGGCAGCUCAAAAUUAUUCACCAUUGCUACUUAUUUAUGUUAUAAUAGAGGCUUACAUAAUUGUUCAUGACCCAAUAGACUUCACCUUUGCUACAAAAGGGGGACAAUAUACAUAUGGUUACAACUUCUUCGAUCUGAUGUCUGGUAUCGACUUAUCCGGGAAUAUGCUGUCAGGAGAAAUUCCAUGGGAGCUUGGGAAUCUGAGCCAUAUCAAAUCCCUCAACCUGUCCAACAAUUUCUUCACUGGUCAAAUCCCAGCAAGCUUUGCAAACAUGAGCGAGAUUGAAAGCUUGGACCUUUCCCACAAUGAACUGAGUGGAUUGAUUCCAUGGCAGCUGACCAAAUUAUCGUCAUUAGCGGUGUUCUCUGUGGCAUAUAACAACUUAUCAGGAUGUAUUCCAAACUCUGGUCAGUUCGGCACGUACGGUAUGGAUAGCUACCAAGGCAACAGUAAUCUUCGGAGUAUGUCAAAGGGAAACAUAUGCUCUCCAGAUUCAGGAGCAGGUGACUUGCCAUCGGAAGGAAGAGACAGUAUGGCAGAUGAUCCAGUGCUCUAUGCAGUCAGUGCUGCCUCAUUCGUCCUGGCGUUUUGGGGCACCGUUGCUUUCUUGUUUUUCCAUCCACUCGGACGGCGUGCAAUUCUCGCGACAAGGAAUUUGGUGUUUUGGUGUGGUCAUUAACGAUUUGAAGUUUAUUUUUCUGUCAUCCAUUUCUGAUUGUGAAGUCUCCACUUACCAACUGCUUCAAAAUUCUUGAGUCUAUAAUUUUUAAUCUAAUGUCCAUAUUUUGUUUUGGGCCUGUCAUCUAAAUGUCGAUGUUGUGUAAAUGGCUGUUGAGAAAUGUAGCUUGCUAUAAGAUGAAUGAAUAUAUUAGGCUGCAAUUUACACAGGGCGCGCUUAAGUGCAGGUUUGCCCUAACCUCUGAUUAUCAUCAUAAAAUGAUUUCUCACCAUGACAUGGUAAAAAUAAACUUGUUGGCCCCAUUUCCCACAAAAUCCAAUUCGCAUCCCCGAAGAUUCUGAUUUUCUAAAUAUAAUUCAAAUUCAAAUGUACCUAUAUGGAUGUAUAUGGAAAUAAAAUCUAGGAUUAAAUACUAAAUAUACCUGUUUGGUUGUUAAAUUGGGGAAUGAUUCCAAAACUCUGUGUGCAUAUAUCGGAUGAUAUCCAACCGAAAUAAUCCAAGACAAAAGCAGCAAUAACACAGAGAAGAAGCAGAUCACAUACCAUCCAACUUCCUCCGGUCCUUGAAGUGACUACCCUAGGGUUGGUUCGCUGCUGUCUGCGCGGCUAUUGGUAGUUGCCGGGAGCAGGAUGGAGGAGCGGCGAUGCCGGAGGCGGGGCCAGGCAAGAGUGACGACGACCUAGGUUUGGCUGUAGCCAUGGACCCAUGGUGGUUGUGGUGGCGAGAGCAACGGAGCAAGGAGAGAGCGGAGAGGCGGAGAGGGGAGGAGACGCGGCGGAGGUGAAGCCGGCAACCAGGGCAGCAAUGGGGGAAGAAGAUGC
rnacentral:lncRNA from 1 species